GGCUAAGGACCUCACCGGACGCACUCACAGAGCGUCCGGUGCCCCUUUGGGCACCCAAACCUCGUCGAAACGCGAUCGCUCCAACACGAAGUUAGUUCCUCUCGAUCUAAGGACUAUCUCUGAGCUGCCUAGUGCUAGGUUUACCAAGUGUGCACCACACCUAAACCUAAAGCCUUGCCUAAGUCAAGCUACUAGAUCAAAGCCCCUCUUAAUAGUACGGUCAAAGAAAAACAAGGUCCUAAACUACUCUAAGUGCCCUUCUUCACCAUGUGGCACUUAGACCUAGUCUAGUCUUGACGAUGUCCAUCCAUCCUUUGAAAACCGAAACGAUUUCCACUAUUAAGUAGGCAUGUACGUCCCUGUCCAUCGAGUACCUAUAUACCAUGACCUUACCUAUGACUUUGCCUCUGCAAAACACACGUUAGUCACAGUAAUCAAUAAUGUCAUUAAUCACCGAAAUCACUAGGGGCCUAGAUGCUCUUUCAAUCUCCCCCUUUUUGGUGAUUGAUGACAACCUCGAGUAUGAAAAGAGUUGAGGUUUUCAAAGUGACUUGGUUUCAAUAAGCAUAUUACAAUAAGAAUAAAAGGAUUAGUAAUGCUUAUAUCAACCAAGUCCAAUACCCUGCAUCCAAAUAUGUGAGUGGUAUACGACAGGAUAUAAACACUAGGCUCAUAAGUACAUCGGAGUAGAAACGCGGAAACAAAAGGUAAUAUGAGCCAAAACACAUGACAUUAAGAAAUCCCAUAAAGCACAAAUCAUGUCUCAUAACCAUAGUAUCUCACACAAGUGCAAUGCAAAAAGGUAAACAUGAUGCAUGAUAAAAAGCACACAUAAAGAGUAUCUCAAAAGAAUAAACUCCCUCUCUAGCUCCCCCUAAGUCCCUAACUCUCUCAUACGGGGGGUUGCUCAACAUAGACAAGCUCAUUAAUAUAACCAUUUAAAAAGGCACUUUUCACAUCCAUUUGAAAUAACUUGAUAUCAUGACUAGAUGCAUAUGCAAGUAGGAUACGGAUUGCUUCAAGUCUUGCCACCGGUGCAAAAGUUUCACCGAAGUCAAGACCUUCCACUUGUGGAAAGCCUUUUGCCACAAGUCUUGCCUUGUUGCGCACCACUUUGCCUUGAUCAUCCUUCUUGUUCCGGAAGACCCACUUUGUUCCAAUCACUCUUGCAUCUUUGGGUCGCUCUUCAAGUGUCCAUACUUGAUUGCGAGAGAAGUUGUUCAACUCCUCUUGCAUGGCCAUGAUCCAAUCCGCAUCACGAAGAGCUUCCUCUAUAGUCUUUGGUUCAUCUUCAAGAGACACAAAAGCGUGAUGUUCAAUAAAUAAAGCAUGUCUAGAACGAGUAGUUACACCACGUGAUGGACUCCCGAUGAUGAGAUCUUGAGAGUGAUCUUGGAGGAGAUGUGAUGUUCUUCUUGGUGUCACUUGAGGGGUUGGUUGGGGAGCAUCAACAUCUUGUGCUUGUGCCACCGCUUGCUCAUGAGUGACUUGGGUGUCUUCAUGAGCAUCUCUCACAUCCUUGUCUUCAUCUUGUGGACCUUGUGAGGUGGAUGGUGGCUCAAUGACUUGCACAUCAUCAUCAUCUUCUUUAGGCUUGAUGUCUCCCACCGGGAUGUUCUUCAUGGCAUCCCUCAAUGGUUCACCACCUACAUCAUCAAGAUUAUCACUUGCUCCUUGGGAGCCAUUAGUUUCAUCAAAUUCAACAUCAAAUGUUUCUUCAACCAUGUUUGUGGCAUGGUUAAAGACCCUAUAUGCUUUGGACUUUGAUGAAUAGCCAACCAAGUAGCCAAUGUCACAUCUUCUUUGGAACUUUCCCAAGUGUUGGCGCUUCUUGUAGAUGUAGCACUUGCACCCAAACACUCUAAAGAAUGAGACAUCGGGCUUCUUCCCAUUGAGCAACUCAUAUGGUGUCUUAUCUAGGAACUUGUGUGGAAAGAGCCGGUUUGAAGCAUAGCAUGACGUGUUGAUUGCCUCGGCCCACAUCUUCUCCGAAGUGUUAUACUCAUCUAGCAUUGUUCUUGCCAAGGUGAUCAAUGUCCGGUUCUUUCUUUCUACAACUCCAUUUUGUUGUGGUGUGUAUGUUGAGGAGAACUCAUGCUUGAUUCCCACUUCAUCACAAUAUUCUUCAAUGUUGGUGUUGUCAAACUCUUUGCCAUUGUCACUUCUAAUUUUCUUGAUCUUCACAUCAAAUUGAUUUUGGGCAUUCUUUGCAAAUUUCUUGAAUAUUGAUGCAACUUCGGCCUUGUCUUGCAAGAAGAAUGUCCAAGUGUACCGGGAGAAAUCAUCAACUAUGACCAAACAAUAUUUGUUGCCUCCAAGACUAGCAUAUGUGGUUGGUCCAAACAAAUCCAUGUGAAUUAGCUCAAGCACUCUUGAAGUAGAGAGAUAGGCUUUGGUUGGAUGAGUGUUUGCAACUUGUUUUCCCGCUUGACAUGCACUACAAAGCUUGUCCUUUUCAAAUGUCACAUCCUUCAAGCCUCUAAUCAAUUCUUUCUUCAUCAACUUCUUGAGUGUGCCCAUUCCAACAUGUGCUAACCUUCUAUGCCACAACCACCCAAGUGAAGUCUUGGUGAAUAAGCAAGUCUUGACAUUAACUUCAUUGGAUGAGAAGUCAACCACAUAUAAGUUGUUGUGCCGGAAGCCUUUGAAUAUCACUUCAUUGUCAUCUUCCUUGGUCACAAUUACUUCCUUCUUCUUGAAUAGGCAUUCAAAUCCAAGGUCACAUAAUUGUCCAACCGAGAGCAAAUUGAAACUCAAAGAUUGCACAUAGAGCACAUUGGUGAUGGAGUUGUCAUUUGAUAUAGCAACCUUUCCUAGUCCCUUGACUUUCCCUUUUGAAUUGUCACCAAAUGUGAUCUUCUCUUGAUUGUCAACAUCUUCAUCAAGAGAGGUGAACAUCCGGGGAUCUCCGGUCAUAUGUUGAGUGCAACCACUAUCAAUUACCCAAUGUGAUCCACCGGUCUUGUAGUUCACCUACACACAAGAGAUCAAGCUUGAGAUUUAGGGACCCACAUUUGCUUAGGGCCCUUGACCUUCUCUACUAGUUGCUUUGGCACCCAAAUCUUCUUUGUCCUUUGCUUGUUUGGUGGCCCCAUGAAGCUAACCUUGACCUUGCCACACUUGUCUUUUCUUACAAUGUAAUGAGCAUUGAAGGCAAAUGGUCUUGCAUGCUUGGGCAAGGGUGGUGGUAGUGGUGCCUUACACUCAUGAGCAAAGUGUCCUUCUUGACCACACUCAAAGCAUCUCUUUGGUUUUAGCUUGCUUGAUUGAUCAUGAGUAGCUAGUGACUUGAUGAGCUUUGUUUGAUGUGCCUUGUAGCCAAUUCCACUUUUGUCCAUCUUCAUGACGAUGUUCAUGAAAAGCUCACUUUGAAGGUCCUUCCCCUUUGUGAACUUUGCUAACCCCAUGGUUAGGUGUUCCUUCUCUUUCUUGAGCUUGUUGUUCUCUUGAGUUAGCCUCUUGAUGAUUGGGUCAUUGUUGCUUGCUAACUCAUCCAAGAUGAAUAUCUCAUCUUCUUCUUGCUUGUCAUACAUCAAACCAAGCUUGAGAUAUUGAUUUUCUUCUUUGAGCAACUUGUUCUCAUAUGCAAGCUUCUUGUCUUGAUCAAUUGACUCAAUCAUAUUGGUCUUGUGCUUGACUUGUUCUUGCAACUCUUUCUUGAGCAAGACAAUUUCAUUCUUGAGCUUGAUAGUGUCCUCAUAACUCUCGGCCACUACCACUUUCUUGCCCUUGCAAUCAACACAUUUGCUUGUGCUCUCCACAAGUAAGUCAUCACAAGAUGUGGCUACAUCAAGCUUAGCAACAUUGUUAGUAGCAACAUGUGUUUCAUCAAUUGCAAGUUCAUAAGCAAUCUCAAGGUUGUCAUAGUUUGCUUUUAGAGUUGUUAGUUCUUCUUUCAUUGCUCUAUAUCUAGUGAUAAGCUCAUCAUGAACACUCUCAAGUUUAUCAUGUUUUUCUUUGAGCUCUUUUAGAGAAAGUUUGAGCUCCUUGAGCUUAGUGGUCAUGAUCUCAUUUUGUUCUCUAAGCUCAUCACUAGAGUUAAGCUUUGCUAGAAGUGUAUCAUUUUCAAGUUCAAGCUUUUCAUUUUCACUUCUAGUCUUUCUUAUGACUUUUGUGUAUUUGUUUAGCAAUUUUACAAGUUCAUCAUAAGUAGGUGAUUCAUAUUCACUAUCACUUUCACUACUCUCAUCCUCACUUUGUACCUUCCGGUCACCUUUGGCCAUAAGGCAUAGGUGUGUAGAGGAUGUAGAUGAUGGUGAAGAUGAUGGUGAUGGAGCAUCAAUGGCGAUAGCGGCAACCUUCUCAUCAUCACUUUCAUUGCCGGAGGAGUCACCACUUGAGCUUUCAAUGUCGGUGAGCCAAUCACCAACAAUAUAAGCCUUGCCAUUUUUCUUCUUGUAGCGCUCCUUCUUGCCACCUUUCUUCUUGUAUUGCUUCUUGUCAUUUUUCUCAUCAUCACUUGAGUCAUCUUGCUCUUUGUUCUUCUUCUUGUACUUGUCCUUCUUGGGCUUUGGACAUUGAUGAGCAAGAUGACCAAGCUCACCACAAUUGUAGCAAUCCAUCUCAGAGAUGGGUUUCCUCUUGCUACUUGUGAAGAACUUCUUCUUGGAGUCAAAGUUGACUCCAUUCUUGUUGAGCUUCUUCAACAUUUUUGUGGUUCUUCUCACCAAGAGGGCAAUGGAUGCAUCAUCAUCACUUGAAGUUGAUGACUCAACUUCAAUCUUCUUGGCCUUGCCCUUGUGAGAAGCCUUGAGAGCCAAGUCCUUCUUUUCUUUCUUUGCCGACGAAGAGCCAUCUUGAGGGUUCAUGUGCAUGUACAUCUCGUGAGCAUUGAUCUUCCCCAAUAUGGUGGUUGGUGUAGCGGUGGAAAGAUCGCCUUGAUGAAGCACGGUUACUAUGUGCCCAUAUUUCUCAAUGGGAAGCACACAUAGUAUCUUCCUUGCAACAUUCGCCGUACUCAUUUGUGUAAGCCCAAGUCCAUUUAGCUCCUCUACAAUGACAUUCAAGCGAGAAUACAUUUCAUUAGCAUUUUCUUUAGGAAGCAUUUCAAAUGUAUUAAGCUUGUUCAUCACUAGGUGAUUGCGUUCCUCGCGUUCACUCUUAGUUCCCUCAUGGAGCGCACAAAGUUCCUUCCAAAGUUCAUUGGCGGUUUUGUGGCUCCGAACACGGUUGAACACCUCUUUGCAAAGACCUCUAAAGAUGUGGUUUUUGGCCUUUGCAUUCCACUUCUCGUUUUCUUGCUCUUGUGGAGUAAGAGCGGUGGCUCUUUCCGGAGGGGCAAACCCUUCGGUCGCGGCUUUUAGGCACUUUACAUCGCAUGCCUCAAGGUAUGACUCCAUCCGUAUUUUCCAAUACGGGAAGUCAUCCCCAUCGAACAUGGGUGGCGGUCCAUCCCCGUUAGACAUCUUUCUCUAGGCGGUGAAGCCUAAAUAAUGAGCACUAGGCUUUGAUACCAAUUGAAAGGAUCAAGAUGCCCAAGAGGGGGGGGUGAAUUGGGCUUCUCUAAAAAUUUAAGCAACCUAUAAGCUCCAAUUCAACCCCUUGUGCCUAGUGUGACUUAGAGAGCUACCAGAUAAAAAUUUUUGCAACCUAGUUCCAAUCCUAUUCUAGCAUGGCAAUUCUAAGAAUGUAAAAACACAAAGUAAAUGCUAGAAAGUAAAGGAGUAGUGGAAGAAAGUGCUCGGCGAUGUUUUGCCGAGGUAUCGGAGAGUCGCCACUCUCCACUAGUCCUCGUUGGAGCACCCGCGCAAGGGUCUUGCUCCCCCUUGGUCCGCGCAAGGACCAAGUGCUCUCUAUGGGCUGAUUCUUCGACACUCCGUCGCGGUGAAUCGCCCAAAACCGCUUACAAGCUUGACACGAGCCACCCACAAGAACUCCGGGUGAUCUUCGUGCCUCCAAUCACCACCGAACCGUCUAGGUGAUGGCGAUCACCAAGAGUAACAAGCAAAGAACUCUCACUUGACCCAAACAAGGCACUAGAGAGUGGUGGAUGCACACUUGACUCUUGGAACUCACUAGAGGAGGAUUCUCUCAAGAAUUCACUCAAAUCUCAAUCCUCUCUAGGCUCUUUGCAACUCUCUUGCUCCACAACAAGUUUCUCUGAUGUUCAAAUGGGCAAGAGUGCUCUCAUGGACGAGGUGGAGGAGUAUAAAUACUAUCCACGAAGUCCAAAGGUCGGCCAACCGUUUUCCACUGAAAACGGGGUCACCGGACGCACGUUAUGUUGCACCGGACGCACUGCACCGAGCGUCCGGUGUGACAUAACGGCUACCUGCGCUUUUCUCUGACAGGUCACCGGACGCUAACUCGCAGCGUCCGGUGCACCGUCCGGUGCUCGGGGAAACUUUACAUGUUCCCUGCGCAUGGGACCGGACGCUACCCGGCGCGUCCGGUGCUAGCGUCCGGUGCUCAGGGGAACUUUGCAAGCUCCCUGGGUAAGGGACCGGACGCUGCCCGGUGCGUCCGGUGCCAGCGUCCGGUGCCUAACCCUAAGCACCAAACAGCUCCAACGGCUAAGGACCUCACCGGACGCACUCACAGAGCGUCCGGUGCCCCUUUGGGCACCCAAACCUCGUCGAAACGCGAUCGCUCCAACACGAAGUUAGUUCCUCUCGAUCUAAGGACUAUCUCUGAGCUGCCUAGUGCUAGGUUUACCAAGUGUGCACCACACCUAAACCUAAAGCCUUGCCUAAGUCAAGCUACUAGAUCAAAGCCCCUCUUAAUAGUACGGUCAAAGAAAAACAAGGUCCUAAACUACUCUAAGUGCCCUUCUUCACCAUGUGGCACUUAGACCUAGUCUAGUCUUGACGAUGUCCAUCCAUCCUUUGAAAACCGAAACGAUUUCCACUAUUAAGUAGGCAUGUACGUCCCUGUCCAUCGAGUACCUAUAUACCAUGACCUUACCUAUGACUUUGCCUCUGCAAAACACACGUUAGUCACAGUAAUCAAUAAUGUCAUUAAUCACCGAAAUCACUAGGGGCCUAGAUGCUCUUUCACCUUUCGGUCUUGCUGUUAGUUUUCUUCUCUUUUUUUUCUUUUUCUUGCUAUAUUUUCUUUUCUUUUUCUUUUUAUCUUAUUUCCUAUAUGUUAGUUUCUCUGUUUUGUUUUAUAUUCCCUUUUUUCUUUUCCUGUUUUUUUUGUGAUUCAUUUUUAUUUUCUUUUUUGUUUUUGUUUUCUAUUAUUCUUUUAUUUUGUAUUUUUUAUAUUUUUUAUUUUCUUUGAUGUUCGCUGUUCUAUUUUUCUCCUUUUUUUUGAUAUUUUCCCUUUUAUUUUUUUAAUUAUGUUUCCUUUAAUUUAUGUUUUAUUUAUUAAUCUUUUUUUGUUAUUAAUUUUUUUUAUUUUUUUGCAUAAUUUCUUUUCUGUGUUAUGUGUUUAUUAUUGAGCAUUCUAAAUUUUUAGUACACAUGUAAUGUUCUAAAAUAUAUUUAGUGUUCACAUAGUAUAUAUAUAUAU
rnacentral:lncRNA from 1 species